GAACCUUACCAAGUUCUUGACAUCGGAAUGACCGGUCCGUAACGGGCCUUCCCUACGGGGCAUUCCAGACAGGUGGUGCAUGGUUGUCGUCAGCUCGUGUCGUGAGAUGUUGGGUUAAGUCCCGCAACGAGCGCAACCCUUUAUCCUUAGUAGCCAGCAGUUCGGCUGGGCACUCUGGGGAGACUGCCAGGGAUAACCUGGAGGAAGUGGGGAUGACGUCAAAUCAUCAUGCCCCUUAUGAUUUGGGCUACACACGUGCUACAAUGGCGUAAACAAAGGGAAGCGAAGGAGUGAUCCGGAGCAAAUCUCAAAAAUAACGUCUCAGUUCGGAUUGUAGUCUGCAACUCGACUACAUGAAGCUGGAAUCGCUAGUAAUCGCGGAUCAGAAUGCCGCGGUGAAUACGUUCCCGGGUCUU
rnacentral:rRNA from 1 species